UACGUAGGGGGCUAGCGUUGUCCGGAUUUAUUGGGCGUAAAGAGCGUGUAGGCGGCCAGGUAGGUCUGCUGUGAAAACUCGAGGCUCAACCUCGAGACGUCGGCGGAAACCAUCUGGCUAGAGUCCGGAAGAGGAGAGUGGAAUUCCCGGUGUAGUGGUGGAAUGCGUAGAUAUCGGGAGGAACACCAGUGGCGAAGGCGGUUGCCUGGAGCUUUGCUGACGCUGAGGCGCGAAAGCGUGGGGAGCGAUCCGG
rnacentral:rRNA from 1 species